rfam:Cajanus cajan chromosome 9, whole genome shotgun sequence.
ACUAACAACAUACAUUUGCUUUUCGGUAGCUUAUCUCAUAAGAACUUCACAGUUAAGCGUGCUUGACUUGGAGUAGUAUAGGGAUGGGUGACCUCUUGGGAACUAUCCAAAAAAUUGUGUAAUUA